GGGGCCUCACACGAGCACAGAGCUAUGUGACUUCUAGAACUCGGGGUGAUCCCCUCUGCACUCCCCUUUCUGAAAACCUGAAGGGUCUGAGCCAGUGUAACACACCCUGGCCAGGCUGUACAGAGCAUGGCUCCCUCCAAGGGCAAAGGCAAACAGACCAUUUGUUCAACUUGUCUAGAUUGUCUACAGACUCCAAAGCAAAUAGCUAAGCAUGCAUCUUGUAAAAAUGUCAUGUCCCCCUGUUUACAAGAGAUUUCUCUGUGAUAUUUGCUCAGACCAAAGGUAAAGUCACACCAGUGAAACAAACAAAAAAGGAGAAGGAAGUCACACAAAGCAGUGAAGAUUAAGGUCCCAGUCUGCACUGGCAAAUGGAGGCUGUUGGACACGGUCACGUCACCUCCCUCCCUCUCUUCAUGCAUCAAGUUAUUUGUUGCUGAGGAAAGGGACCAUUUUAACAAAGAGGGAAGGAAGGCUUCCCUGGGAGGAAGGCUUCCCUGGUCUCAGCCAGCAGUGUGUGAUGUGAUCUCUUGGCCACACAGGAUUCUCUUGUGGAACAAGGAGGUUAGGAUGUGUCUUGUCCACUCUGGAAGAGGCUAUGAUGUGCAAAUCUAUGCACAGUACAUCAGGAGCCCCCCCAAUGUCCUGAACAGCUUUCAGAGGGAUGGAUGGUGCUGAUCUCCUGGGAAAGGUGGCAGCAUCUGCAAGGGGGAGAUGACCAAAGGCUCUGCAGAUCAGGACUGCUUGCCAUUCCUGCUGCUCCCAUUACAGAGAUUCUUCUGCCACUGCGAACUAAUGAGUGCCUCGGCUUCAUCAGAUCUACAAAGGAGGAUUUGUGAUGGUUGGAAAAGCCCAAGUAAGAACAUAUGGAAGAAUGAAAAAUGAUGAAAGUUUAAAUGUCUGCCUUUACCCUCCUAUAAACCUCUUCUGUACUUGGCCAUUAUGGAUCACUUGUGGGCACGUGCCAAUUUGUUUCUUCCUCUUGUUCUUGGGUACACACAUGCACAGGGCUGAAUGUACCUGUUUAAAUUUAUGCUCAGGAACAACUCAAAGAUCAAUCACUACACAUAAGGACAGCCUUUGAGAUGCAGCGAAGAUCUCAACAUGGCCAAAUGAAAUGGAAAAAUGUAUCAGUGUGUCACUACUACUAGGAUGAAAUUUUCCUCUGGAAAUCAAAGCACAACGAAAACUCUUUAUCAGUUUCCCCAUUCUCUUCAGAAAUCUGUGGUAGCAGAUGCCUUAAACUCUCUCGUGGGUGAAGGGGAAAGGUUGGAUUACUGAAAAAACAAGGCAAGCUUCAGAGUGUGGAGGAGGCAUUAGGAACUGCUUAGGAUCUCAAACCUGCAACACCUUGAACCCAUCACCAGCCAGAACCGUGAUGGAUGGGAGAGGAUAAAGGGCAGUCUAGCUGACCCAUGAUGCCUUCCAGUGCCCUCCAAGAAACAAGAAGAAAAGAGAUUCUUAUCACUCUGUGAAAGAACAGAGGGGAAAAUUAUCAUUAAAAUGCCUUCCUAAUAAAACUAACAAACAGGAACUUUUUUUUCUUUCA
rnacentral:lncRNA from 1 species